CCCUCUCGUGCUGGUUUAGAGCAAGAGCUCUGACAAGAGCAAGACUCAUUUUUCUCAUAUUUCAAAGCCACAGAGUCAUUUUCUUUACUGUCCAGGUUUUCCUUUACUGUUCAUAUUUGAAAAAUAAAAGAAACAAUGAAACAUUUUAAAGUUGUUCUUUUAAUAAGCUAGACUAUAUUUUUAAUUGUUAAUGAAUAUCUUUGUGUCAAAAAGUUUUUUAAUGGCUCUUAAAGAAUACAUGCAAUGUGGUGCUGAAGAGAUGGUUCAAUGGAUAAAGCACAUGCCACAGACGCAUGAAGACCUGAGUUCAGAUUAUUCCCCGAUCCCCAUGAUAAGCCGACUAGCUGGACUCAGAGAGAGGUCCUACCUGCCUCAGUAAACAGCGUGAGGAGUGAUCAAAGAAGACACCUAAUGUCAGCUCUGUGCUUCUGCACACGUGUAUGCGUAAGUGUGCAAGUGCCACAUAUAGCUGCACCACAACACACGAGAACACACAUGUAUAAGCACACACAAAAAAAGAAAACCUGCAGUGCUAGCCUUCGGAAUUACAAGGAGGGCACAGAAGUGAAAUCGUGGGUAAAGCCAUUCAGAGUGGCGCUCGUGUUGAGAUGUGGCCCACAGAGCCGUCUGUAAGCAGGCUCUCCAUUCAGAUUUUGGGCUGUUUGUUUUGGUUUGGUUUGGUUUGGCACCCUACUCUUCAUUGUGAUUAAAAUUAAAAUGAUUACUCAAGAGAAUCCAAACUGCCUGCUGCAGAAAUCUGGUAGGAUUUGUUUCCAUGGAUCCCAUGUGAGCCUGACCUGACCCUGUGUGCUCUAAGAGGACCCUCACCAUCAUGAACUUCCAGAACACCAAGGAUGUGUGCCAUGAGGCUGCUUCCUAUAACGACUGUUGAUCCUGCCUGAUGCAUCACACCAAACAUUACACAGAGAAGGAAUGACUCUCUGAGGGCUAGGUCUGGUGCAGCGCUGUGAUCCAUAGACCCC
rnacentral:lncRNA from 1 species